UGACGCUGGUGUGAUUCAGGCAGUUUCAGGUUCCUGUGGUUUUUAGUGUCCAGCCCAACAACUUGAAACUACCUACAUCACACAGCUCCA